CAUGAUGUCAUUUUCCUGUGACUAAAAAGUGAUUAGUCACAUGGCAUUUAUGACUCAGGUCAGUCUCAGAGUUGGCUAAAAGAUCCUUGUCCAAACUGAAGGCCCAUGAGCAAAGACGAGAGCAUGCAGCUCUCAGUUUGUUUACUGACCGUUUAAUGCACAUUACACACAAAAAAGCAAGCAUGCAUGACAGAAAUCACCACAUCCAGUCUGAUCGCCAGCUGGGAACAAAGUCAUGUUAAGAUGCUACCAGGAUGAUACAGUGAGCACUGAGGAAAAACAAAUCUGCCAAAGUUUGCAAGCAAGAGACGGCAAGCAUCACCUCAUACCUGCUCUAUCAGGGGACUCUUUUCAAAAAGACUGACUGACAUUAAGAAACUCCAGAGAGCCUCGUGUGGAGCAGCAGAUAAACUGGGUCAAAAAUGUUGACAUGAAAUGUGGAGAUCAGAACUGGGGCUUUAAACUCCGGAUCAAGAUACAACCAUCAAAGCUGAGGAUCCUGCUUGUCCUUUUUCAGAAAAGGGCUCUUUAAAAUAGGCGAAAAAAGACAUGAGAACGAGAUGAUUUUGGGUUAGCGUUAACAUUUUAAACUUUGAUGAAUAUUAAUGUGAUGAUUAGGCCUGCGUGUUUACAUUAUCCCAUCAAUCACAUAGCAAAUCUAAUGAGUAUAAAGAUCAGCUGAUUUUUAAUAACUUAACAGAAAUAACCUUGUGCUGACACUUAAGGGAAGGUUCACCAAAAAUAACUAUCUCCUUCAUUUAUGAUUCCUUGUUGCUCUUUUUUUGGAGCUUUGGGAGUAUAAAUCAUCAUCCACUUGUUCCUCAUAUGGAAAAUAAACUUUCUGUCUUCUCAUUUUGAGUUGUAUUAAAGAAAUUAGUUCACCCAAAAAUCUAACUUUUCUGAAAAUGUACUCAC